AGCUCCAAUAGCGUAUAUUAAAGUUGCUGCAGUUAAAAAGCUCGUAGUUGGAUCUCGGGCCUCGGGCCGGCGGUUCGCCUCGCAGGCGGUCACUGCCGGUUUUUCCCGACCCGCUAUGCCGGUUUUUUUGUCUCUCCCCUGGUGCUCUUGACUGAGUGUCUGGGGUGGCCGGAACGUUUACUUUGAAAAAAUUAGAGUGUUCAAAGCAGGCCGGUGCUAGCCUGAAUAAUGGUGCAUGGAAUAAUGGAAGAGGACCUCGGUUCUAUUUUGUUGGUUUUCGGAACUGGAGGUAAUGAUUAAGAGGGACUGACGGGGGCAUUCGUAUUACGGUGUCAGAGGUGAAAUUCUUGGAUCACCGUAAGACGAACUACUGCGAAAGCAUUUGCCAAGAAUGUUUUCA
rnacentral:rRNA from 1 species